rnacentral:rRNA from 1 species
GAUGAACGCUGGCGGCGUGCCUAAUACAUGCAAGUCGAGCGAACAGACGAGGAGCUUGCUCCUCUGACGUUAGCGGCGGACGGGUGAGUAACACGUGGAUAACCUACCUAUAAGACUGGGAUAACUUCGGGAAACCGGAGCUAAUACCGGAUAAUAUAUUGAACCGCAUGGUUCAAUAGUGAAAGACGGUUUUGCUGUCACUUAUAGAUGGAUCCGCGCCGCAUUAGCUAGUUGGUAAGGUAACGGCUUACCAAGGCAACGAUGCGUAGCCGACCUGAGAGGGUGGUCGGCCACACUGGAACGGAGACACGGUCCAGACUACUACGGGAGGCAGCAGUAGGGAAUCGUACGCAAUGGGCGAAAGCCUGACAGAGCAACGCCGCGUGAGUGAUGAAGGUCUUCGGAUCGUAAAACUCUGUUAUUAGGGAAAAACAAAUGUGUAAGUAACUAUGCACGUCUUGACGGUACCUAAUCAGAAAGCCACGGCUAACUACGUG